UAGGGAGAGCUUCCUCCCGCCACGGUGACAAGCGUGAUCCUACGUGUUCUCCUGAUGCCCCCGCAGUGUUCUUGGAUCCUCAUUGGACCUGACACUUAGUUGUCAUAGAGUGACACAGGGCUCUCUGUAUUUACUCUUCAGUUAGCCACAUGAUCCAAAAAGAUUUGGCGACUUAAAGACGCGGCUUUGUACAUUUAUGUAGCGUGCAAAGGCCGUUAAUAAGUUCUGAAAUCAAUUUCCUCCAGGUUCUCUUGGAGAACUUGCCAUCCUUGGAUCUGCCGGUCUGUGUUCCUCCCAGUCUGACUUUGUCUUUACGAUGAUGGAGUUAUACUGCGUUUUGGGGCCUCAUACCAAAAACGUCCUUCGUUAUCCUUUCCCUUUCAAAAUCUCCUUGGCUAUCCCUGUGCGCUUGGCCUUCCGUGUGAACUUUAAGAUCAAUCUGUUCGCAACAGAGGCCUUUUAUGUGCUGACACAGAACAGUCUCCGGCACACAUGGCUAAGCGACAAAAGGAAGGAACAGAGAGCAGUAGGUAUAACAUGCAGCUGUUUUAAGUUUUUAAAAAGAGAGAAAACAGAUACACACACCCUUGUGACUCUGCUCAUCCGUGCAAAAAUAUCUUUAAAAGAUGCACAAGGAUCGACAGUGCAUUACUUUUUCAAAAUCAGUAAAUAAUUAUGCCACAUAAAUUUAAGUUCACCCAAAACACCCAUCCCAUCAUGGACUCUAAUUGGAAUUUCGUGGAGAGAAAUGACAUUUUUACAUUACUUGUCCCCCCAUCUAGUGACGUGGCUGCUCCACUUAUUUAAAUUCGUUUUAUGCCCUUCAGGUAAAAUUUUAUUGUCUUCCUCCAGAUAGGCUCACUCCUUCCUUGCUAGACUCAUUCCUAAGUACUUUGUAGCAGUGACGGCUAUUAUGAAUGAAAAUUUUUGAAAAUUUUUGAAAACUGUAAUCCCUAGCUGCGUGUUUCUGGUGGAGAGAGCCAUAGCUCUGGCACCCAGCUGCGGCACCCAUUCCUCACUGCUCCCAUUGGUUUCACCAGUAGAGGAUGAGAAUUUCAAGCACCUCAUUUUCAAAAUCCGCAUCUCAUUUCUUUUCCCUGUUUUCUUGCAUUGUCGGAACUCCCAAAACAGCGCUGGGUCACGUGACAGCAGACACGCUCAUCUUGUUCCUGAUUUUUAGCUGUGGUCUCCAGUGCCGCCUUCUACCUUCAGAUAAGAACUUAGGAAGAACCUUCCUUCUAUCCUAGUUUGGGAGGCAUGAAGCCCUCGCGUGCGUCUGCAACGGCAGUGUGGCCCUAGAACUCGGCAAGCGAUGACACACUGCCCCUUACAUUUAAGAUCUGUGAUUCCCAGCCCUGACUGCACACUAGAAUGAUCUGGAAGCUUUUAAAAAAAAAAAAAAAACAAGAAACAGACGCUGCCUGGUCCUUCCCAGAACAGAUCCACCCGGAGUCUGGGCUGGGCUCCUCCAAGGGGCAGCCCAGGGUCUGUCCUCGACGGCCGUCCGGGUUUGUCCUGCCUGGACGCCUGCAGCAUCCUCUUCCUCUAUCUCUGGAAUUCGAGCGUUCCGCCGGCUGUGUCUAGGCGCGUCUGUCUUUCCUCCGGGCUGCCGGCCCUCCGCGAGUUUGCACGUCUGAAGAUUCCUGAGACCACUUCCCCACUAGGACAGCAAUGGAGUCCGUCAUGAAAGUUGGAAACAUCAAAGGGUAAAAACCGAAGCCAUCGGUAGCCGGGAGGAAGCCGCCGUCGGCUGUCCGGCAUCCUCGACUCCGUGGUCGCCACGUCGCAGGGAGCGUCUCACUCCAGAGCUGCCCGAUUUCCCAUCAGUCUGCUCUGGGACCCCGGCUGCCCGACUCC